AAAUUGAAGAGUUUGAUCAUGGCUCAGAUUGAACGCUGGCGGCAGGCCUAACACAUGCAAGUCGAGCGGAAACGGCAGCAUUGAAGCUUCGGUGGAUUUGCUGGACGUCGAGCGGCGGACGGGUGAGUAACGGCUGGGAACCUGCCCUGACGCGGGGGAUAACCGUUGGAAACGACGGCUAAUACCGCAUAAUGUCUUAGUUCAUUACGAGCUGGGACCAAAGGUGGCCUCUACAUGUAAGCUAUCGCGUUGGGAUGGGCCCAGUUAGGAUUAGCUAGUUGGUAAGGUAAUGGCUUACCAAGGCGACGAUCCUUAGCUGGUUUGAGAGGAUGAUCAGCCACACUGGGACUGAGACACGGCCCAGACUCCUACGGGAGGCAGCAGUGGGGAAUAUUGCACAAUGGGGGAGACCCUGAUGCAGCCAUGCCGCGUGUGUGAAGAAGGCCUUCGGGUUGUAAAGCACUUUCAGCAGUGAGGAAGGUGGUGUACUUAAUAAGUGCAUGGCUUGACGUUAGCUGCAGAAGAAGCACCGGCUAACUCCGUGCCAGCAGCCGCGGUAAUACGGAGGGUGCGAGCGUUAAUCGGAAUUACUGGGCGUAAAGCGCAUGCAGGCGGUUUGUUAAGUCAGAUGUGAAAGCCCGGGGCUCAACCUCGGAACCGCAUUUGAAACUGGCAGGCUAGAGUCUUGUAGAGGGGGGUAGAAUUUCAGGUGUAGCGGUGAAAUGCGUAGAGAUCUGAAGGAAUACCAGUGGCGAAGGCGGCCCCCUGGACAAAGACUGACGCUCAGAUGCGAAAGCGUGGGUAGCAAACAGGAUUAGAUACCCUGGUAGUCCACGCCGUAAACGCUGUCUACUUGGAGGUUGAGGUUUAGACUUUGGCUUUCGGCGCUAACGCAUUAAGUAGACCGCCUGGGGAGUACGGCCGCAAGGUUAAAACUCAAAUGAAUUGACGGGGGCCCGCACAAGCGGUGGAGCAUGUGGUUUAAUUCGAUGCAACGCGAAGAACCUUACCUACUCUUGACAUCCAGAGAACUUUCCAGAGAUGGAUUGGUGCCUUCGGGAACUCUGAGACAGGUGCUGCAUGGCUGUCGUCAGCUCGUGUUGUGAAAUGUUGGGUUAAGUCCCGCAACGAGCGCAACCCUUAUCCUUGUUUGCCAGCACGUAAUGGUGGGAACUCCAGGGAGACUGCCGGUGAUAAACCGGAGGAAGGUGGGGACGACGUCAAGUCAUCAUGGCCCUUACGAGUAGGGCUACACACGUGCUACAAUGGCAGAUACAGAGGGCAGCGAAGCUGCGAAGUGGAGCGAAUCCCUUAAAGUCUGUCGUAGUCCGGAUUGGAGUCUGCAACUCGACUCCAUGAAGUCGGAAUCGCUAGUAAUCGUGGAUCAGAAUGCCACGGUGAAUACGUUCCCGGGCCUUGUACACACCGCCCGUCACACCAUGGGAGUGGGCUGCACCAGAAGUAGAUAGCUUAACCUUCGGGAGGGCGUUUACCACGGUGUGGUUCAUGACUGGGGUGAAGUCGUAACAAGGUAGCCCUAGGGGAACCUGGGGCUGGAUCACCUCCUUAC
rnacentral:rRNA from 1 species